rnacentral:rRNA from 1 species
AACGAACGCUGGCGGCAGGCCUCAAACAUGCAAGUCUAGGGGGUGUAGCAAUACAUCACCGGCGGACGGGUGCGUAACGCGUGGGAAUAUACCUAUUGGUUCGGAACAACACAGGGAAACUUGUGCUAAUACCGAAUGUGCCCUUACGGGGAAAGAUUUAUCGCCAAUGGAUUAGCCCGCGUCCGAUUAGCUAGUUGGUGAGGUAACGGCUCACCAAGGCUCCGAUCGGUAGCUGUUCUGAGAGGAAGAUCAGCCACACUGGGACUGAGACACGGCCCAGACUCCUACGGGAGGCAGCAGUUGGGAAUCUUGGACAAUGGGGGAAACCCUGAUCCAGCCAUGCCGCGUGAGUGAUGAAGGCCUUCGGGUUGUAAAACUCUUUCGACGGGGACGGAUAAUGACGGUACCCGUAGAAGAAGCUCCGGCUAACUUCGUGCCAGCAGCCGCGUAU